rnacentral:rRNA from 1 species
GACGAACGCUGGCGGCGUGCCUAAUACAUGCAAGUAGAACGCUGAAGGAGGAGCUUGCUCUUCUGGAUGAGUUGCGAACGGGUGAGUAACGCGUAGGUAACCUGCCUGGUAGCGGGGGAUAACUAUUGGAAACGAUAGCUAAUACCGCAUAACAGUAGAUGUUGCAUGACAUUUGCUUAAAAGGUGCAAUUGCACCACUACCAGAUGGACCUGCGUUGUAUUAGCUAGUUGGUGGGGUAACGGCUCACCAAGGCGACGAUACAUAGCCGACCUGAGAGGGGGAUCGGCCACACUGGGACUGAGACACGGCCCAGACUCCUACGGGAGGCAGCAGUAGGGAAUCUUCGGCAAUGGACGGAAGUCUGACCGAGCAACGCCGCGUGAGUGAAGAAGGUUUUCGGAUCGUAAAGCUCUGUUGUAAGAGAAGAACGAGUGUGAGAGUGGAAAGUUCACACUGUGACGGUAGCUUACCAGAAAGGGACGGCUAACUACGUG